GAUGAACGCUAGCUACAGGCUUAACACAUGCAAGUCGAGGGAACGGCGCACGGGUGAGUAACACGUAUCCAACCUGCCCUUUACUCGGGGAUAGCCUUUAGAAAGAAAGAUUAAUAACCGAUGUAAAGGAUGGGGAUGCGUUCCAUUAGGUUGUUGGGGAGGUAACGGCCCACAAAGCCUUCGAUGGAUAGGGGUUCUGAGAGGAAGGUCCCCCACUUUGUAACUGCGACACGGUCCAAACGCCUACGGGAGGAAGCAGUGAGGAAUAUUGGUCAAUGGGCGUUAGCCUGAACCAUCCAAGUAGCUGGAAGGAUGAAGGCUUAUGGGUCGUAAACUUCUUUUAGAUAAGAAUAUGUAUGAUAUGAAUAAGGAGCGGCUAACUCCGUGCCAGCAGCCGCGGUAAUAC
rnacentral:rRNA from 1 species